UGGGGAAGCCUGCCCUGGGUGCUCACCAUUAGAGCAUGCGUUGCCUGGGGGGGAUUUAGACACAAUAGUAACAUCAACUAAAAGUUGGUCUGCUUUUUAUUACCAUAAUGCUGUGGCAAUUGAAAACCUAAUGUCAGUGACAAACCCUUCUCCCCGUGGAAGUACCUACCCCUAUGCCCGCCACUGUUUAUAUGCCACUGCAGGCAGGCCAUAAUAGAAUAGAUGGAGAGGCCAGGGGCAGCUGGAUAGGAAUUCCCAGUGCGUAGCAUCUACCGAAGCUAAAAUCCUGUCUCUUCCCACCUGCCAGCCAGCGCCAGUUGCCCACAGGUGUUCUGAAGAAGCACACUCAGCAGGGAGAUUUUUACUGAUCUAUAACUGAAAACUGACUGAGCUCCCUUUGGGGUGUUUGCCUCUCCCAAGCAACUGCCAGCCAGAAUGAGCUCAGCAGUGGGAUCCCCGGGGGCAGCGUAAUGACCCAGACUGUACAUGCAAUUAUUGACAGUGCACUGGCAACUCCAAGGCCUGUGACAAUGGCCUUCCCUCUUGUGACAUAAGCCAGAGAGCAAGAGGACAGCAUCCUCAAACAGGCUCAGAAAUUAUGCCUACACCCUGAAGACAGAGAGGGCAUCUUUGAUCUCCAGGCUAGAGUGUGUUUCCUGAAGGACCUGUUGGUGUCUGACUCACUGAUGUCCCGGCUGGCUCCCGCUCCAGCGCUGGACCCGAGGUCAAUCCCUGGGUCUGGAGGCUGGGAGUCAAAGGUCAAGGCGUGGGCAGGUUAGUUUCCUCUCCGGCCUCUCUCUGGGGCGUGCAAGUGGCUUGUUUCUCACCGUGUCUCCACCUGGUCCUGCCUCUGUGAUCACACAUCCCUGGUGUUUCUCUGUGUGUCCAAAUUUCAUCCUCUUAUAAAAGCAUUAGUGAUAUUGAACUAGGGCCUGCCCCAACAAUCUCCUUUUACCUAAAUUAAUUCUUGAGAAGUCCUAUCUCCAAUACAGUCACAUCCUAAGGUACUAGGGGUUAGGGCUUCAAUUUACCAAUUUGGGAGGAUACAAUUCAGCCCACAACUGUAUUAUGCCCAUGCUCCACCAAGUCUCAACCAUUUCAGUAAUAACCCCCUCUAAAUGUUUUUGUGAUCUAAGUUAUAAAUGAUUGUUCCAGCUGUUACUGAGGUUUUCUACUUACCCUUCAAUAAACAUUAUAUCUAACAACAUCAACUUUAAUUAGAGAAACACCAGUUAUCCAUUUGGCCCCCGGCACACUGUAAACGCAGCUGCACAUUGGCUUUUUGAGAGAAAGUUCUUAAAGGUUUGGAGUCAUUUGAGCUCACUGCUGGCACAGCCCUUGUCUCCCAGCCCUGUGCUACUCUGAGCACCACUGCUUAAAUGGUAGAUUAGAAAUUAACAGUAAUUCUGGAGACAAGCAAAUAAAAUAGAACUUGAGUUACUUCUGAUGGAAUUUAUGUUUAAAUUUUAAAACAGAAACAGUCAUUUUAUACUUA